AGAGUUUGAUCAUGGCUCAGAACGAACGCUGGCGGCGCGUCUUAAGCAUGCAAGUCGAACGGCAAGGCAGGUGCUUGCACCUGCCCUAGAGUGGCGGACUGGUGAGUAACACGUGGGUGACAUGCCUUUUAGUUGGGGAUAGCUACUAGAAAUAGUAGAUAAUACCGAAUGUGAUCAAUAUUUAUAGAUGAUGUUGAGGAAAGGAGCUAAGGCUUCGCUAAAAGAUUGGCCCGCGGCCCAUUAGCUAGUUGGUAGGGUAAAGGCUUACCAAGGCGAUGAUGGGUAUCCGGCCUGAGAGGGUGAUCGGACACAUUGGGACUGAGAUACGGCCCAGACUCCUACGGGAGGCAGCAGCUAAGAAUAUUCCACAAUGGACGAAAGUCUGAUGGAGCGACGCCGCGUGGAUGAUGAAGGCCGAAAGGUUGUAAAAUCCUUUUACACUGGAGGAAUAAGCAGAGUAGGGAAUGACUCUGUGAUGACUGUACAGUUUGAAUAAGCAACGGCUAAUUACGUGCCAGCAGCCGCGGUAACACGUAAGUUGCGAGCGUUGUUCGGAAUUAUUGGGCGUAAAGGGCAUGUAGGCGGAUUUGCAAGCUUGAUGUGAAAUCCCGCAGCUUAACUGCGGAACUGCAUUGGGAACUGCAAGACUAGAGUUACUGAGGGGAAACUAGAAUUCCAAGUGUAGGGGUGAAAUCUGUAGAUAUUUGGAAGAAUACCAAUGGCGAAGGCAAGUUUCUGGCAGAUAACUGACGCUGAGGUGCGAAGGUGCGGGGAGCAAACAGGAUUAGAUACCCUGGUAGUCCGCACAGUAAACGAUGUACACUAGGUGUUUGACCAUGAGGUUGAGUGCCAUAGCUAACGCAAUAAGUGUACCGCCUGGGAAGUAUGCCCGCAAGGGUGAAACUCAAAGGAAUUGACGG
rnacentral:rRNA from 1 species